CUACGGGAGGCAGCAGUGGGGAAUAUUGGACAAUGGGCGAAAGCCUGAUCCAGCCAUGCCGCGUGGGUGAAGAAGGUCUUAGGAUUGUAAAGCCCUUUCAGCGGGGAAGAUGAUGACGGUACCCGCAGAAGAAGCCCCGGCUAACUCCGUGCCAGCAGCCGCGGUAAGACGGAGGGGGCUAGCGUUGUUCGGAAUUACUGGGCGUAAAGGGCGUGUAGGCGGAUCGGUCAGUCAGGGGUGAAAGCCCGGGGCUCAACCCAGGAAUUGCCUUUGAUACUGCCGAUCUAGUGUCCGGGAGAGGAUAGUGGAAUUCCCAGUGUAGAGGUGAAAUUCGUAGAUAUUGGGAAGAACACCAGUGGCGAAGGCGGCUAUCUGGACCGGUACUGACGCUGAGGCGCGAAAGCGUGGGGAGCAAACAGGAUUAGAUACCCCGGUAGUCC
rnacentral:rRNA from 1 species